rnacentral:misc_RNA from 1 species
CCUGGAUUAUUCAUUCAUUACGGGAAGAUUGUGCGUGCAGGUCACAUCAUGACAAUUCGGGUUAUGCUGCAGGCGAUGGACCAGGGCCAUCUGCUGGUAAACAACGUUGACAAGUAUGUCCGCGCAGGACGUGGGGUCAUGGUUUACAUUGCCUUCCUCUCAGACAGAGACAGCGCACCGAUCACCGACGAGGCUCUGCGCCACGCCGUGGAUGUGCUGCUCCAGACCAAAAUCUUCACGCACUUUUCACCAGAAAAGAUGAUCAACCAGCCCCAAUCGCUGGAAGAGUGUCCUGAGAUGGACAUCCUCAUUGUUCCACAGGCGUCGCUGGGCGGCAAGGUGAAGGGGCGUUCGGUGCAGUUUCACCAGCUCGUCGCCAAGGGCGUGGGCGCAGCGCUGUACGAUCGCUUCUGCCACUUUGUCCGCGUCGCCCGCGGAGUGGAUGAGUCCCGCGUGGACGCCAAUGGGGCACCACUGAACGAAGGAGAUGCUCCGAAGGCGGAGGGCUGGAUCAAGUACAACUCCCGCGUCAUCUCCGGCACCUUUGGGAAUCGCCAGGGUCUGCGAUUCGAAUCGGAAGGGCCGUUCACGCACAUGUUUGACAUUUGAUUCUGGCGACGCCGAAGGGAAAAUCGAAGAUUGGAGGUGUCGAUGCGAUCAACAACUCAAACGCAACGCGCGUGACGCCAGAGCAUCCCCUCUGCGUACGUGGAGGACAGAAGACCUCGCGGCAAACAGUAACGCUCUUCUCGACGCUCGUCUUUCCCCACUCCCUCUCCGAGCGCCAGCCGCAUCUUCAUCUUGGGUGCGAGUGACAGGUAUGCCUUUCGCUCGCGGUUUGGGAAAGGACGAGGAAGACGGUGCAGUGCGCGCACAACCGGAAAGGUAUAUUUGCAGCGCGUAGAACGUGUGAGAAGGUUGAAUCAUCUGUGUGUGUGUGUGUGUGUGUUCGACUCUCUGUCUGCGGUGGUGCGGUCAUCGAUUGCGGAACGCUGCCCCUUUUCGAUGCAGCGUGUACGAAACCGUGCAUCCUGUAGAGCUGCACACGCUUCACCGUGUUGACGACGUUUACAGACCCAACGGAAAC